rnacentral:rRNA from 1 species
ACGCGGAAUAGCCCAAAAGCGGUUAUAAUUUUAGAAGAAUAACCUGGAAAGGUUAACCAUAGAAGGUGACAGUCCUGUAUUCGAAAAGGUUAUAGUUGUUAAAUUGAGUAAGGCGGGACACGAGAAAUCCUGUUUGAAAAUGGGGGGACCAUCCUCCAAGGCUAAAUACUCCUGAGAGACCGAUAGUGAACAAGUACUGUGAAGGAAAGGUGAAAAGUAUAUCGAGAAGAUAGUUGAAAUAGAACCUGAAACCGUACGCCUACAAGCGGUCGGAGCCCCUAAGGGUGACGGCGUGCCUUUUGCAUAAUGAGCCUACGAGUUAAUGUUUCUGGCCAGGUUAAGUAGUUCAGCUACGGAGCCGCAGCGAAAGCGAGUCUUAAUAGGGCGUAUAGUCAGAAGUAUUAGACGCGAAACCUUGUGAUCUACCCAUGGGCAGGUUGAAGCUUUGGUAACACAAAGUGGAGGACCGAACCGGUUGACGUUGAAAAGUCUUCGGAUGACCUGUGGGUAGGGGUGAAAGGCCAAUCAAACUGGGAAAUAGCUCGUACUCCCCGAAAUGCAUUUAGGUGCAGCGUAGUGUUAAGUAUCUUAGAGGUAGAGCUACUGAUUGGAUGCGGGGGCUUCACCGCCUACCAAUUCCUGACAAACUCCGAAUGCUAAGAUAUGUUUCACUGCAGUGAGGGCAUGGGUGCUAAGGUCCAUGUCCGAGAGGGAAAGAACCCAGACCAUCAGCUAAGGUCCCCCAAUGUAUGCUAAGUUGAAUAAACGCGGUUGGACUGCAUAGACAGCUAGGAUGUUAGCUUGGAAGCAGCUAUUCAUUUAACGAGUGCGUAACAGCUCACUAGUCGAGCGGUCCGGCAUGGAUAAUAAUCGGGCAUAAGCAUACUACCGAAGCUAUGGAUUUAACGUAAGUUAAGUGGUAGGGGAGCAUUCUAUCGGCGCCGAAGCAUGUUUGUAAAGAUGUGUGGAGCUUAUAGAAAAGAAAAUGUAGGCAUGAGUAACGAUAAAAUCAGUGAGAAACUGAUUCGCCGUAAGAUCAAGGAUUCCUAAGCUAUGCUAAUCAGCUUAGGGUUAGUCGGGUCCUAACAUGUACCCUCAUGGGGAAGUGGAUGGCAAACGGGUUAAUAUUCCCGUACCUGCUCUCAAAUAAAGUGACGGAUGAAUGUAUUAGGUGCGUACUGACGGAAUAGUACGUUGAACCUACGUAAAGUAGGGAUAGUACACCAAGGCUUCGGCUGGCGUGAUAAUCCUAAGAAAUUUGUUCCAAGAAAUAGCGAGAGAAGCAGCCCGUACCGUAAACCGACACAGGUGAUCGAGGAGAGUAUCCUCAGGCGCUCGAGUGAGUCGUGGUUAAGGAAUUAGGCAAAAUCGACCUGUAACUUCGGGAGAAAGGUCGCUCCCUGCAAGGGGAGCCUCAGUAAAACGGCCCAGGCGACUGUUUAUCAAAAACACAGGACUCUGCCAAAUCGUAAGAUGACGUAUAGGGUCUGACACCUGCCCGGUGCUGGAAGGUUAAGGAAGGUUGUUAGCAUUUGCGAAGCAAUUGACUGAAGCCCCAGUAAACGGCGGCCGUAACUAUAACGGUCCUAAGGUAGCGAAAUUCCUUGUCGGGUAAGUUCCGACCUGCACGAAUGGUGUAACGAUCUGGGCACUGUCUCAACCACGAGCUCGGUGAAAUUGUAGUAUCGGUGAAGAUGCCGGUUAAUCGCAACGGGACGAAAAGACCCUGUGAACCUUUACUAUAGCUUCGUAUUGACUUCGGGUAACUAAUGUGUAGGAUAGGUGGGAGACUAAGAAUUAGCAUCGCCAGGUGUUAAGGAGUCGUUGUUGAAAUACCACCCUUUAUUUACUUGAAGCCUAACUUCGUACACACGAAGGACAUUGCGUGGUGGGUAGUUUGACUGGGGUGGUCGCCUCCAAAAGCGUAACGGAGGCUUUCAAAGGUACCCUCAGCACGCUUGGUAACCGUGCGUAGAGUGUAAUGGCAUAAGGGUGCUUGACUGUGAGACCUACAAGUCGAUCAGGUGCGAAAGCAGGACAUAGUGAUCCGGUGGUUCCGUAUGGAAGGGCCAUCGCUCAAAGGAUAAAAGGUACUCCGGGGAUAACAGGCUAGUCUCCCCCAAGAGCUCACAUCGACGGGGAGGUUCGGCACCUCGAUGUCGGCUCGUCACAUCCUGGGGCUGGAGAAGGUCCCAAGGGUUGGGCUGUUCGCCCAUUAAAGUGGCACGCGAGCUGGGUUCAGAACGUCGUGAGACAGUUCGGUCUCUAUCUGUUGUGAUCGUUAGAAGUUUGAGCGGAGUUGACUCUAGUACGAGAGGACCGUGUUGAACAAACCUCUGGUGUAUCAGUUGUGCCGCCAGGUGCACCGCUGAGUAGCUACGUUUGGAUGAGAUAAGCACUGAAAGCAUAUAAGUGCGAAACUCGCCGCGAGAUAAGACUUCUUUU